AAGUCCAUGGUGUGGACAUUUCUAUUGCAAAUCCUUGUACCCCUCCUAAGUCCCAUAUAAUGAUUCACCUUCCUGCUGAGCAAAACUUGUUAUAUCCAUGCGUAAUUU